UAGGGGGUUUCCGCCCCUGAGUGCUGCAGCUAACGCAUUAAGCGCUGCGGCUGGGGAUUACGAGCGCAAGGUUGAAACUCAAAGGAAUUGACGGGGACCCGCACAAGCGGUUGAGCAUGUGGUUUAAUUCGAAGCAACGCGAAGAACCUUACCAAAUCUUGACAUCCUUUGACAACUCUAGAGAUAGAGCUUUCCCCUUCGGGGGACAAAGUGACAGGUGGUGCAUGGUUGUCGUCAGCUCGUGUCGUGAGAUGUUGGGUUAAGUCCCGCAACGAGCGCAACCCUUAAGCUUAGUUGCCAUCAUUAAGUUGGGCACUCUAAGUUGACUGCCGGUGACAAACCGGAGGAAGGUGGGGAUGACGUCAAAUCAUCAUGCCCCUUAUGAUUUGGGCUACACACGUGCUACAAUGGACAAUACAAAGGGCAGCGAAACCGUGAGGUCAAGCAAAUCCCAUAAAGUUGUUCUCAGUUCGGAUUGUAGUCUGCAACUCGACUACAUGAAGCUGGAAUCGCUAGUAAUCGUAGAUCAGCAUGCUACGGUGAAUACGUUCCCGGGUCUUGUACACACCGCCCGUCACACCACGAGAGUUUGUAACACCCGAAGCCGGUGGAGUAACCUUUUAGGAGCUAGCCGUCGAAGGUGGGACAAAUGAUUGGGGUGAAGUCGUAACAAGGUAGCCGUAUCGGAAGGUGCGGCUG
rnacentral:rRNA from 1 species